CUGCCUGUAAGACUGGGAUAACUCCGGGAAACCGGAGCUAAUACCGGAUAGUUCCUUGAACCGCAUGGUUCAAGGAUGAAAGACGGUUUCGGCUGUCACUUACAGAUGGACCCGCGGCGCAUUAGCUAGUUGGUGGGGUAAUGGCUCACCAAGGCGACGAUGCGUAGCCGACCUGAGAGGGUGAUCGGCCACACUGGGACUGAGACACGGCCCAGACUCCUACGGGAGGCAGCAGUAGGGAAUCUUCCGCAAUGGACGAAAGUCUGACGGAGCAACGCCGCGUGAGUGAUGAAGGUUUUCGGAUCGUAAAGCUCUGUUGUUAGGGAAGAACAAGUGCGAGAGUAACUGCUCGCACCUUGACGGUACCUAACCAGAAAGCCACGGCUAACUACGUGCCAGCAGCCGCGGUAAUACGUAGGUGGCGAGCGUUGUCCGGAAUUAUUGGGCGUAAAGGGCUCGCAGGCGGUUUCUUAAGUCUGAUGUGAAAGCCCCCGGCUCUACCCGGGGAGGGUCAUUGGAAACUGGGAAACUUGAGUGCAGAAGAAGAGAGUGGAAUUCCACGUGUAGCGGUGAAAUGCGUAGAGAUGUGGAGGAACACCAGUGGCGAAGGCGACUCUCUGGUCUGUAACUGACGCUGAGGAGCGAAAG
rnacentral:rRNA from 1 species